GAUGAACGCUGGCGGCAUGCCUAAUACAUGCAAGUCGAGCGAACGGACGAGAAGCUUGCUUCUCUGAUGUUAGCGGCGGACGGGUGAGUAACACGUGGAUAACCUACCUAUAAGACUGGGAUAACUUCGGGAAACCGGAGCUAAUACCGGAUAAUAUUUUGAACCGCAUGGUUCAAUAGUGAAAGACGGUCUUGCUGUCACUUAUAGAUGGAUCCGCGCUGCAUUAGCUAGUUGGUAAGGUAACGGCUUACCAAGGCAACGAUGCAUAGCCGACCUGAGAGGGUGAUCGGCCACACUGGAACUGAGACACGGUCCAGACUCCUACGGGAGGCAGCAGUAGGGAAUCUUCCGCAAUGGGCGAAAGCCUGACGGAGCAACGCCGCGUGAGUGAUGAAGGUCUUCGGAUCGUAAAACUCUGUUAUUAGGGAAGAACAUAUGAGUAAGUAACUGUGCACAUCUUGACGGUACCUAAUCAGAAAGCCACGGCUAACUACGUG
rnacentral:rRNA from 1 species